rnacentral:lncRNA from 1 species
GCUGGCCUUUUCAUUCAUUCAUCCAUCCAUCUGCAAGCUUUUCAUCCAUUGCUUCCAUAAACACCAGUCCAUCGCUCAUCGAUCCGUCAUUCAUUCAUAGUCUCAUACACAUACACAUGUCGCAAAACUGCUAGCUUCGUCGCCACCGGCUGUUGCUUGCCGUCAUCGUCGCCGGCCGUUCGUCUCGUCAUCAUCGCCGCCGCGCGCCGCUCGUCGUCGUCAUCGCCGGUUGUCCAUCAUCUGCAUCGCUUGCAAGUUGUUCCUCGUCGACCGGCUGCUCAUCUUCAUCUCGCUUCUUCACACGUAUGGGAGAAGAUUCAAGGCAAGGUGAGAAUCCAUGAAUACAAUCUCCCUCAAUUCUUGAUGGAUGAUGUGUUAUUUCCACCGUGCGUCUCAUAUAUGUUCGGUGUUACCUAAUUAAUUUUCCCUUGAUUCGGUCUCAUGGUGAUCCCUAUCCCAUGUUGAUACAAAUCAAGAUAAUAAAUGAAAAUGCCAAGUCUCAGUCAUAUACUUAUGCGAACUACGUGCACAUGUGCAAACAAAUUCUUCCUUAUUUGGUCAACAUGGUGGCUCCGGUCCCAUAUAGAUACAAAUUAAGGAUAGAAAUAGGAAUAAAUUAACAUGCUUCUUAUUUGAUCAGNNNNNNNNNNGGUGACUCCGGUCCCAUGUAGAUACGAAUUAAGGAUAGAAAUAGAGAUCAAACCUUAUAUUGUUAGAUCUCGUAAAAUCCCAACUGAUAGAAAUUAGGAUAUAUACAUGUUCCAUAUCGCGUACAUGUCAUAGUCUGAAUAAAUUUAAACUUGAUCUUGAUUUGAUCUCAUGGUGAUUCCGACCCCAUGCUGAUACAAACCAGGGAAAUAAACCAAAUUCUUAGAUUGGUCUCAUAGUGAUCCUUGGUCCUAUGAUGAUACAAAUUAGGUACACAUAAUAAAAUCCUCCUAGGUUUGGUCACAUGGCGAUUCCGAUCCCAUGUUGAUACAAAUCAAGAAUAUAAGUAAAACUUCAUAUCCGUUUGGUCUCACGAAGUCCUACCCAAUAGAAACUAGGACAUAUUUGCCCCACAUGCUAGUAUAUGCUAAUCCCCUAAAUGCAUGAAUCGGUGUUGCAAUUAGCAAAUAAAUCACAUUAUGUAUUCCCUUAUAUGGAUGCAUGCAUCUAUCAUCUAAAUAAAUUGCUCGACAUACGUUUUUCUCAUACUAAUUUGGCACUAGAAAUAGUAUAGUGCAUCAUGUUGUUAAUAUUAAAAUAAACAUGACAAUCAAAAUACUCAUACAUGAUAAUUACUCUAUGCAUUGUUUAGUCUCAUAUAACUAAACUAAAAUUGAUAAUUUUCAUCAUGCCCAUGUAAAUAUAAACUGACACAUACUGUUUGGUUUCACUACGAGCAUAUAUUCUAUGCCUUGAUAGUGAUAAUACAAACAAAGAGAAAUCAUCAUGCUUCACACGGUUAUGCUACACGAGGGCAUAUCGCUACACGAUGAUAGCAAUAUUACGAGUGAAGUGAAACUUAAUCAAAAUACCCAUGUCACUAGUCCCUCAUAUAAAACUUGUGUGCCAACAUAGGUGUUAGAAUCAUAUUAUACCGUUAAAGUGCAUGCAUAUAUGCAAUGGAAAUGUGGCACACUUAUAAAUUGACAUAUGCUUCGAGUUUGGUUACACCACAAGUAUAUACUCUAUGCUUUGCUGGUGAUAAUACAAGCAAGAAUAAAUUACUAAACUCCUCUUGGUUAGGCUACACAUGGGCACAAUGUUGCUACAUGAUGAUAGUACUAAUACAAGUGAAACCAAACUUUAUAAAAUAUACUCAUAAAUCAGAAAUCUAAGCUCACAUAAAUAUUUCACUAGUUAUAUAUGAUAUAGUUAAGAACUAGUAUGGUUAAGGUGCAUGGAGGCAAUCAACUUACAUGUCAAAAAGAUAAUCCCAUAUAAAUUGAAAUCAAACCAUGAGCUCUAUAUAAAAAUGCAUAAAAUAAGCUUACAUGUUAUAAGAUAACCUCAUAUAGAUCAAAAUUAAACCAUGCACUCCCCUCAUAUAGGUGCAUAUGCCCAUAAAAUUAAAUGAUAACUAGGAUCAUAGCCUAUGUUACUUGCACUAAACAUAACAUAGUGCAUCAUCAAUUUCCAUAUAGCCUCCUCAUAUGUGGUUUGACAAAAUAUAUCCAUUAUCAUAAAGUGGACACAUAUUCCCUAAAUUCCAUGCAAUCAUACGGGAACCAAAUGCACGAUAAAAUUAACUCAAAAAAGGAGUUAUCCCCUAUAUUGCAUAUAUGCCCAUUUGCCAGGCUAGCUAACCAUUAAAUAGAUCUUUGUAUUAAAAUAU